AGCGAACGCUGGCGGCAGGCCUAACACAUGCAAGUCGAACGAAGUCUUCGGACUUAGUGGCGGACGGGUGAGUAACACGUGGGAACGUGCCUUUAGGUUCGGAAUAACUCAGGGAAACUUGUGCUAAUACCGAAUGUGCCCUUCGGGGGAAAGAUUUAUCGCCUUUAGAGCGGCCCGCGUCUGAUUAGCUAGUUGGUGGGGUAAUGGCCCACCAAGGCUACGAUCAGUAGCUGGUCUGAGAGGAUGGCCAGCCACAUUGGGACUGAGACACGGCCCAAACUCCUACGGGAGGCAGCAGUGGGGAAUCUUGCGCAAUGGGCGAAAGCCUGACGCAGCCAUGCCGCGUGGAUGAUGAAGGUCUUAGGAUUGUAAAAUCCUUUCACCGGUGAAGAUAAUGACUGUAGCCGGAGAAGAAGCCCCGGCUAACUUCGUGCCAGCAGCCGCCGCCGUAA
rnacentral:rRNA from 1 species